UACGUAGGCAGCAAGCGUUGUUCGGAGUUACUGGGCGUAAAGGGUGUGUAGGCGGUUGUUUAAGUUUGGUGUGAAAUCUCCCGGCUCAACUGGGAGGGUGCGCCGAAUACUGAAUGACUAGAGUGCGGGAGAGGAAAGUGGAAUUCCUGGUGUAGCGGUGAAAUGCGUAGAUAUCAGGAGGAACACCGGUGGUGUAGACGGCUUUCUGGACCGUAACUGACGCUGAGGCACGAAAGCGUGGGGAGCAAACAGG
rnacentral:rRNA from 1 species